UACGUAGGGUGCAAGCGUUAAUCGGAAUUACUGGGCGUAAAGCGUGCGCAGGCGGUUCGUUAAGUUCGAUGUGAAAGCCCCGGGCUCAACCUGGGAACUGCAUUGGAAACUGGCGAGCUUGAGUGCGGCAGAGGGGGGUGGAAUUCCUGGUGUAGCGGUGGAAUGCGCAGAUAUCAGGAGGAACACCGGUGGCGAAGGCGGGUCUCCGGCUAGGUACUGACGACUGACGGUAG
rnacentral:rRNA from 1 species